CCGCCUGCCCAGGGGCUGAAGUGAAUUUCAUUCUUUGUCCUUUUUUCUCACCUUUUAAAGAAGAUGGAAAAUAUGCUGUCACUCCUGGUUUUACUCGCUAUAUCGCCUUGUGCCCGGACCCAAAUCCAGCUGGUCCAGUCCGGGCCUGGCAUGGUGAAGCCCCAAGAGACCCUCACAUUAACCUGCUCUGUGUCUGGUUAUACCAUUUCUUCUGGCUAUAACUGGGGCUGGAUCCGGCAGGCUCCUGGGAAAGGCUUAGAAUAUAUGGGGUAUACAUACGGACCUAGCCAGGUCACCAGCUAUGCCCCGGCUUUCCAGAGCCGAAUCACCAUCGCCAAAGAUUCCUCCAAGAACCAGUUCUCCCUGCAGCUCCGCUCGCUGACACCUGCAGACACUGCCACCUAUUACUGCACCAGAGACACAGUGAUGCAGAGCAAAACAGGACCCGUGUCCUCUCCCAAGUGCAGCUGUGGGAACCGGGCCAGGGAGUGGUGA